rnacentral:rRNA from 1 species
GAGCACGUAGGUGGGUUUGUAAGUCAGAUGUGAAAGCCUCCUGUUCAACGGGAGAAUUGCAUCUGAAACUACUGAUCUUGAGUGUAGGAGGGGAGAAUGGAACUUCUGGUGGAGCGGUGAAAUGCGUAGAUAUCAGAAGGAACGCCGGCGGCGAAAGCGAUUCUCUGGCCUAUUACUGACGCUCAGUGUGCGAAAGCUAGGGGAGCAAACGGGAUUAGAUGCCCGGUAGUCCUAGCCGUAAACGAUGGGCACUAAGUAGAGGGGUUUU